rnacentral:lncRNA from 1 species
CUACACACCGAUUAGAAUGCUGAAAGAAUGGGACUCUCAUACACUGCUGAUUGAAUCAUACAACUGUACAACCACUCUGGAAAUCAGGUUUGCAGUAUCUUACAAAAAUCCACAUUCAUCUACAUAGAUGAUCAACCCAUUCCACUCCAGGAAUUUACUCAAGAGGAAUAAAAGUAUAUGCCUCUAUAAAGACUUGUACAUGCAUAUUCAUGGCACCUUAAUUUGCAAUAGCCAACAACUGGAAAUAACUCAAAUGUCCUUCUACAGAUGAAUGGCUAAACACUGUGGUACCCCUACGUAAUAGAAUACUACUUGGCAAUGAAAAAGAACAAACUAUUAAUUACACGGAUAAGUCUCAAAACAAUUAUGUUGAGUGGAAAACGCCAGAGAAGAAAUAGCAUAUAUUGCAUGAUUCCACUUCUAUACAGUUCUGAAAACUUCAAACUAAUCUACAGCGACAGAAAAUAGAACAAUGAUUAUCUGGCAAAAAGGGGCAAAGAAAGGAGGAAGGAAGGCUUGUUAUGCCUUCAAGGGGCAUGAAGAAACUUCGAGGGUGGAUAGUUAUGCCCAUGAUCUUGCCUGUGGGAAUGGUUUCAUGGUGCAUACAUAUGUCCAAACUUCACAUAUACUGUACUUUAUAUGCAGUUUAUUGCCUGCCAGUUAUACCUUCAUAAAGCUGUUACAGUUAAAAAAAAAUACUAACUGAAGUAAUGCAAUAUAUGCUAUAUAUGCCAUAGGAGUCAAGGACAGGAAGAGGUGAAUGUGGCUACAGGAGCAGGGCAGGGCAUCAAGAAGAAAGUGAGGGUUCCUCUGAGCUUUGCAGAAUUUGGGAAGAAGGAAAGGAGUGAAGAGAUAAUCAUCAAGACAAAGAAAACAGCUGGAGCCAAAGCAGGGUCAGGCACAGUGAGGCCACUGGGCCAGGGCUGGGGGCGAAGAACCCUGGGGAGCCGAGGGGAGCCAUGUGGAAUGGAAGGAAAUGAGGGAAAAAUCUUAGACUGGCCUGGGCACAUUAUUCCAGAGAGGCUGUGUUUAGAAAGGUGUGAGGCGGACACUAGGAUGGACAGGCAAACAAGUUUCCUCGCAGUGCCAAAGCUGCUCAGCUGGCAGUGACGUCCUGGACUGGCGUGCUGAGGUGUGGAGACCACAUGUAUGUGGUGACUGACAGGCCACAUGUGUCAUUGCUGUGGAAUAGAGAAAUGAUGCUGUGGAUGCAUGGGUUUGCCACUACCGGACUGAAGCCAAGGAAACUAAAGAAGAUCCUGUAAUUAACAAAACAUGAAAUUCUAAAAGGUGGGGGCCAUGGUAAUAUCCCCAUUACCAGCAACAAAUUUGGGAGGCAUUUAUCUGGAAGAAGCAAUGAGAUAUGAUGACAGAAUAACACGUGCUUGAUAAGUGUUUGAUGAAUGAAUUUGUGCACAGAUUAAACACAGCAGAUGGAGAGAAAAAAAGGCAGAAAAAUGAUUUCACUCUUUCCUUUUUACCAAAAGGAAAGUGCUAGCUGAAGAAGGGGUUAUCCAUUGCUCUGAAGCUGGACCAUGAACCUUAAACCAUUUAUGUGGUUGAAAAUGACGUCCAGCUUCUUAUUAAACUUUUUAUAAGAAGAUAGGACAACAAAGACACCCCAGGGCAUAUAUGUGGUAAAGCCAUUUAAGGUGAAGAAUCUAAAAGGAAUCAGGAAUACACAGAGCCACAGGAAAAAGCAGGACAGUAACAACCAGGGUGCAGCCACUACAUUGCAGGCACCGUGCUAGGCACUUUAUAUAGAUCAUCAUGUCUAACCCCUGUGAAGGCAGGUAGGUUGCAUUAUCCCAUUUUAGAGAUGGAAUAACAAAGGCUCAGAGGUUGGGUUAUUUUCCCAAUGCCACCUAGAUACAAUCUGGGCCAGGAUGCAAACUAAGGUCUCCCAGAUGCCAAUGUUCAGGCCACUUGUACAUUAUUUUGCUGCCACUCAGUGUUAACAGGGCAAAUUAAUAAACAAAAGUGGAAGUUUUAACCUAGCAUUGUCUAUUUUCUGUUUUCAAUAAACAUUAAUCACCCAAAAAUAUUUUAUAAAAAAAUUAUUUCUUCAAUGGAAAUCACUGAAGGUAACAUAUCACUUUCAACUUUAAAUGGUUCCUAUAAUGCUGAAUAAAGGCAUACAAUCAGCCCUUCAUAUCCACAAGUUCUGCAUCUGCGAAUUCAACCACUAAAGACCGAAAAUAUUUUAAGCAGUAAAAGUGAUGCAGAUAAAAAUACAGUGUAACAGCUCUUUACAAAGCAUUUACAUUGUGUUAAAUAUUAGGUAUUAUAAGUAAUCCAGAGAUGAUUUAAAGUAUACUAGAGGAUAUACAUAGGUUGUAUGUAAAUAUACACCAUUUAUAUAAAAACUUGAGCAUGCAGAUUUUGGUAUGCGGGGUUGCAGGGGAGUCCUGGAACCAAUCCCCUUGGGUACCAAGUGAUGACUGUAUUCCAUUAUAAAACACCAAAGUUUGAAGACAGAAUUUUAAUUUCACUCUAAUCUAGAUUUAAAGUGGGCAGCAGGUGUGGGCAGACACAGGUAUGGAAAGUCAAGCCACCUUCUCUAUGAAGGCUGCCUCUGCCUUCUCCUAAGGCCUCAUCUCUGAUGUUACCCCUUCAAAGAGGCCUCUUACCCCCAACCUAAGCAGCCUCCUCCCCCAGUCACUAUGGCACAUGUUAUUUCUUUACUGCACUUGUCACUAUCUGAACUUAUUUGCUUUGCUUAUUUAUUAUUUCUACUUCUUCUUACCCCAUCCCCAAAAACCACCACCAGUAAAAAUUCCUUUGCUGGGAGACUCUGCAGAAACCUGGACUUGCUGUACCCCUGCAUGACACCCAGAAGAGUGCCUGGGCCCUCUCCGUAGAAACCACCUCAUAAAGAUCUGCUGAAUGAAUGGCCAACCCAGAAACUCACGUCUUUCCGUGUCUUAUGUUCUGCAGCCUGAAUCCUCUGAUCCAUUUCCUCUUCCAACUCACUCAACUGCAUAGCUGCCUUGUCCUGGGCUCUGAAAUUCAAAAGGAUGCACACCUUUUCAUUAUACUCUUGAACUUGAAACAUGAAGAGAAACUUCAGAUUCAUCUACGUUAAGCCCUAUAUAUUACAGAUGAAGAGAAACACCCCAUUCAAAAUGAUUUCCCAUUCCUUCUACAUAAUAAAAUGAGAUUGGCAAUUCGACCAUUUUGGUGUAAAAUGAUUUUAAAACUAGAUACAGUUAUGCAUUCCUUAACAACUAGUAUACAUUAUGAGAAAUGUGUCUUUAGGAGAUUUUUGUCAUUGUGUAAGCAUCAUAAAGAGUAUUUACACCAACCCAGCUGGUAAAGCCUACUUCACACCUAGGCUAUAUGGAAUAGCAUAUUGCUCCUAGGCUGGAAACCUGAACAGCAUGGGACUGUACUGAAUACUGGAAGUAACUGUAACACAAUGGUAUUUAUGUAUCUAAACACAGAAUAGAUACAGUAAAAGUAUAGGAUUAUAUUCUUAUGGGACCACUGUCAUUUAGGUAAUCCUUUAUUGACCAAAACAUUGUGAUGUGGUACCUGACUAUAUUAAAUAAAUUAAUAAAUUGGAUAAAAUGAUAUUAAACUAGAUUGUGGCAAACAGUAAAGAUAUCAAAGUGCUGGGAGGCUCUCAAUAAAUUCUGAAUUUUUUUUUGCUCUCAUGACUGAGUUACAACCCUGGAUUAAAAAAAGAACUCUGUGGCAAAGUGAUGGUUAUAUAUAAUUUUGAAAUUUCACUAUAUAAAACUCACAAUGUUAUAUGUUAAAGUGAGAAGGGAAAAAAAGAUCUCAAUCAUUAUUCUUAUUUGUCCCCUAAAGUUCUAGAAUGUAGAUAAGGUUACCUUUUAGAAAAAUUAUGUUUCUGUUAGGAGUGCAAUUAUAAAUCACAUCUCUAUGGAGACAGAGCACAUUGAUUUGCAUCUAAACCAUGAGCUUUAGAGGUGAUUCAUUCGGACAAAUGACAUGCUAUUAAUAAAUGACAGGGCUUAAAUAUAAGAUUUUCUGUCUUCUAGUUUGAUGGGUCUCUGCUAUAGCAACUUACCUGCUUUUGACUUAUUUACUCCCUCACACAACACAAUUUAUUCAUGCAUUGGUUCAACUUCCACAUAAAACUCCAAGGAAGUAUUAUGGGAGGAAAAAGACCCCAAAGUAAAAUUUUCAGUAACAUUAUUAUCUUCUGUUCCUAUUUACUUCUUCCUCAUCUUAUAGCCUGUCCGAGGUUAUGUUAACCAAGCUUGGGAAGUCAGUUCAUUUCUGCUUAUAAAUACCUGCUAUUUGAAGUCUAGAAACUGUGUAUCUCCAUAGCAAUGUCUGGCGGUUUUUUGGUCAACUCUGGGACUGUAAAUGGCUAAGGCACAUAUCCUUUCUCCCUCUGUUAUGAUAAUUUCCCACCUACUUCUUCUAGCUAUCCAAUCCCAAGCAUCUGGGACUGCUCCGUAAUGGACUCUCUCUGCCCUUUUCACUUCUGAGCAACAUUUUUCUUCUUUUGUAAAUCAGGGUGAUGCAUAAUCACAGAGUGCUUGCCCCAGCAAUUUCCAAUUUCUGGUGAAAUGUCUGCCCACUGUGACCUAGUCCGGGGCUCCCUCCAGGACACUGGGAACCCCUUCUUCAGGUGCAGUGCAGAACAAAAUGGCCAAAACCCUCCCCCAAUUAAAAAUAGCAGUGAGGAUGGAUGGCUAAGCAUGCAAGGAAUGGUUUACAAGUAGCCAUUUAAACACUUCCUGAGGUCUUUGGUAGCUAAGAAAGGAGGCUUUAGGAGACUUCAGCUCAGCAUAGAGGCUGGCUCUGGAUCCCUCCAGCAGCACAGAAGGGAGUGGAUGGGGACACCAACACAGCUCAAAUUAAUAUGAUGUACUCACUCCACCAUGAAAAAGCAGCCUAGCUGGUAAUGAGAACAUCAAGCAUGCCAGUCUGUUUUUUUCCUCAUAGGUUUACAUGGUAUUAUCUUUAGAUGGGGGGCAUGUGUAUGCAUGUGUACCCACAUAUCUCUGUGUGGGUCUGUGUAUGUGUACCUAUGUGUGUACCUAUGAGUUUGUCUGUUUUAAUACUUAUUGGAUGCUCUGAAGAAUCAAUGUGUGUGUCUGCCUGUCCCAUCUCAAAGGAGACCAACUCUGGGACUCUGACCCACACUCCAGAAUGCUCUACAGACUCUGGAGUUCUGAGGACCACCCUUUAUCCUCCUGGAAGGCCCCUAGAAGGCUAAUUUGAGAGAAAAAUGGUCAGUCAAGUACUAAAAAUGUUCAUAAGAAAUCCCUUGUGAAUAGAUCAACCUUGGCUUGACUCCAGGACGAUAAGAAAGGUCCUAUUUCAUACCAAGAAUUUAAAAUAUUUUCUUUUCUACAUCGUAAUGAACCAAAGGUUCAACUAGACAGUUUCAGCAUCAUGUGGAUGGGAAGGAUAAAGAGACAGCAGAAUUGAAGACAAGUCACCCGCCCCUAUGUAGACAGGGCAGCCUCCUAUUAAAAGGGCUGCAUCUAUAAGCUCCAGGCAGAAACCAGCAGGGUGCACAGCGUCUUGGGAGCUCUUGGUGGAGCACACGACAGCAAGGAGCAUCCGUGUGGCACAACACACAAGAACUGUGACAAGCACAAUGCCCUCUCUUUCCCAAUACAUGCUAAAGGAAUGCAGUUUUUCCAGGGGGCAAAGAGGCUGACGUUUGGACUGCAACACAUAUAAAUUGUUUUUUUUGCAUGACAUAGCUGUUAACACCAAAAAGAUAUCCUAUGUAAGCUAGCUAUGGCUUAAAUGGACUGUAUUAGAGUAAGAGUUUAAUAGUUCUUUGGCUUUCAGUUCAAAGGGGGAGGGCCAAGUGAGGAGGGCUAGAGAGUAGAGAGAGUCAAAGCAGCACUGCUGAGCACCCACCAUGUGGUGGGCAGUGUGCAGGGCUCACCCAUGACAUCAUCCACUAAGUCUUAACACCUGGAGGACGUGAAGAUAUUCAUCCUCAUUUUGCAGUUGCAGGAAUUGAGACUCAGGGAAAUUAAGUAACCUGCUCACAAAGUCUCAUACAUGUAGGUAACAAGGCCAGGCUUCAAAUAGUGUUCCAUCUACUUCUCUAGAUAAAAGUUUCCUGUGUGUUUUAAGCAGCUGGAUGUAAGAUAAAUCUCUUAAUUGUUCUGUAUCAAGUCAUCAUUGAUCCUGAAGAGUUUAUAUAAUAGGAUCAUGAUGAUCUACUGAUUGAUUGGUAGCUGACCUACUUCUCCAUUGCUGGCUUAAUUUUGAAAGCUCUAGACUCCUCAGGCUCAGGAAGUCCACCUAUAUCAUAGUGUGACAAUGCAGUUCAGUCCAUUUGCCACCCAGGUCAGAGAGCAAGUUAAAGCACCCACAGGCCACUUAUAAAGGAAGGACUUCAAUACCUCUUCACCGCAAUGGCCAAAUUUUCCAUUUCUGUGCUUUGAAGUCUGAUCUCACGGAUGAAGUUCUUUAUAACAUGUUCAUAUGGCUGAAUUAAUCUUGGCUCCACAAGGUUGAUGUUUUGGUACAAGGUACUAACUUGCUCUUCUCUGCCAAAUAAAUAAAUAAAAAUUAAACCAAUUAUAAAAUUUUAAAGGCAACUCUGCAGGGGGCUUUUAAGAAAGAGAAACAUAAAUGAAGAACUAAGGAAAGAAAAACCAGCAAUCACAGAAUGAACGGAAGGAAGGGAAGACAGCAGUCAGGAGAUAUGGUUGGAUUUUUCCCCACAAUAGGAGAUGGGGCCUGCGAGGACAGUGAAAAUGCACAGCAAGGGACUAAUAAGGAAGGAUUUUGUUGUUGUUCCUGCUGUGUAUUUUUUAAUUUUAAUAGAAAGAUAUAUAAAUUUACAGAAAAAUUAGGUAACAUUAAAUCAGUUACUUAAUUCCAUGUUUCAUCCACCCCUGAUAAGACAUGUUUCAGCCUUUAUCGUCAUAACAGUGGGUGUAUUAGUCCAUUUUCACACUGCUAUAAAGAAAUACCCAAGACUGGGUAAUUUAUACAUAAAAGAGCUUUUAACUGACUCACAGUUCCACAUGACUGGGAGGCCUCAGGAAACUUACAAACAUGGCAGAAGGGGAAGCAAGGAUCUUCUUCACAUGGUGACAGGAGAGAGAAGAGUGAGGAGUGAAGGAGGAAGAGCUCCUCCUUAAACCAUCAGAUCUCCUGAGAACUCUUUCACUAUCACGAGAACAGUACGGGGGAAACCGCCCACAUGAUCCAAGCACCUCCCAACAGCUCUCUCCCUAGACACAUGGGGAUUAUGGGGAUAACCAUUCAAGAUGAGAUCUGAGUGGGGACACAGCCAAACCACAGCAAUGAAUAUACCUAUUAUGUUACGGUCAGCUAAAAGUAACUUCAUAUAAAUUCACAUUUUUAUAUAUAUUUGCAUUGAUGUCAGUCACAAUUCUCUUGACACCAAAUGUGUGGAUUUUUUCCUCAUACCAACCAAUUCUCCAACAUUUCAGAUACCAACUGAGUGUCCAACAAUCCAAUUUCAUUCUGACACUACCCAGAGUCAGCACAGACCCCACAGGUUAAGAGAUCAGUCCCACAAGACUGCUCCCCACUUAGAUACCAGUCACAAGUUCCAGGUUGCCACGUACACUUCUGACCAAUCACCUAUAAAUCAGGGGUUCCCGUGACCCCCUCUUCAGUUCCAUACUUUGCUUAAAUGGCUCACAGAACUCAGGAAAACACUUGACUUAGGUUUACCAGUUUAUCAUAAAGAAUAUAACUCAGGAUGGCCAAAUGGAAGAGAUGCUUUGGGCAAGGUAUGGAAGCAGAGUGUGGGUGCACAGAACAACACCCUCCCAGCUCCUCAGUAUGUUCAUCAACCCAGCAGUUCUCCAAACACUAUUGUUUUGGGGGUUUUAUGGUGAUUGCACUGCACAGACAUGAGAGAUUACAUCACUGGCCAAUGGUGAUUACCUCAAUCUUCAGCUUCUCUCUCCUCCCCAGAGGUCAGGGAUGGGGCUGAAAGUUCCAACCUUCUAAUCACGUCAGUCUUUCUUAAUCUUAAUCAUGUUCAGCCC